CUUUUUAGGGUUAAACGUCAAUAUUUUGACGAAUCUUCUAUUUUUUGGUGUCAUUUUUUGACGUGUCUCUUAUUUUUAGGGACU
rfam:Populus trichocarpa scaffold_11_contig_583, whole genome shotgun sequence.